rnacentral:rRNA from 1 species
AGUGAACGCUGGCGGUAGGCCUAACACAUGCAAGUCGAACGGCAGCACAGUAAGAGCUUGCUCUUACGGGUGGCGAGUGGCGGACGGGUGAGGAAUACAUCGGAAUCUACUUUUUCGUGGGGGAUAACGUAAGGAAACUUACGCUAAUACCGCAUACGACCUACGGGUGAAAGCAGGGGAUCUUCGGACCUUGCGCGAUUGAAUGAGCCGAUGUCGGAUUAGCUAGUUGGCGGGGUAAAGGCCCACCAAGGCGACGAUCCGUAGCUGGUCUGAGAGGAUGAUCAGCCACACUGGAACUGAGACACGGUCCAGACUCCUACGGGAGGCAGCAGUGGGGAAUAUUGGACAAUGGGCGCAGGCCUGAUCCAGCCAUACCGCGUGGGUGAAGAAGGCCUUCGGGUUGUAAAGCCCUUUUGUUGGGAAAGAAAAGCAGCAGGUUAAUACCCCGCUGUUCUGACGGUACCCAAAGAAUAAGCACCGGCUAACUUCGUG